UACGUAGGGGCCGAGCGUUGUCCGGAGUUACUGGGCGUAAAGCGCGCGCAGGCGGCUCGUCAAGCCUGACGUGAAAGCCCCCGGCUCAACCGGGGAGGGUCGUCGGGGACUGGCGGGCUUGAGGUCGGCAGGGGUUGGUGGAAUUCCCGGUGUAGUGGUGAAAUGCGUAGAUAUCGAGAGGAACACCUGCGGCGAAGGCGGGUUGCUGGGCUGACACUGACGCUGAGGCGCGAAAGCUAGGGGAGCGAACGGG
rnacentral:rRNA from 1 species